GAUGAACGCUGGCGGCGUGCCUAAUACAUGCAAGUCGAGCGAACAGAUGAGGAGCUUGCUCCCCUGACGUUAGCGGCGGACGGGUGAGUAACACGUGGAUAACCUACCUAUAAGACUGGGAUAACUUCGGGAAACCGGAGCUAAUACCGGAUAAUAUAUUGAACCGCAUGGUUCAAUAGUGAAAGACGGCUUUGCCGUCACUUAUAGAUGGAUCCGCGCCGCAUUAGCUAGUUGGUAAGGUAACGGCUUACCAAGGCAACGAUGCGUAGCCGACCUGAGAGGGUGAUCGGCCACACUGGAACUGAGACACGGUCCAGACUCCUACGGGAGGCAGCAGUAGGGAAUCUUCCGCAAUGGGCGAAAGCCUGACGGAGCAACGCCGCGUGAGUGAUGAAGGUCUUCGGAUCGUAAAACUCUGUUAUUAGGGAAGAACAAAUGUGUAAGUAACUAUGCACGUCUUGACGGUACCUAAUCAGAAAGCCACGGCUAACUUCGUG
rnacentral:rRNA from 1 species